UACGGAGGGUGCGAGCGUUAAUCGGAAUUACUGGGCGUAAAGCGCACGUAGGCGGUCGGAUAAGUCGGAUGUGAAAGCCCUGGGCUUAACCUGGGAACUGCAUUCGAUACUGUCUGGCUAGAGUAUGGGAGAGGGAAGCAGAAUUUCCGGUGUAGCGGUGAAAUGCGUAGAUAUCGGAAGGAAUACCAAUGGCGAAGGUAGCUUCCGGGCCCAAUACUGACGAUCAGGUGCGAAAGCGUGGGGAUCAAACAGG
rnacentral:rRNA from 1 species